rnacentral:lncRNA from 1 species
ACUGUUUUGUUUCACAUGGCUUUUUUGGUCACCCAGGUCUGAGCUCAGAAGACACCUCCUCCAUGAAGCCUCCUUGGCCACCCAUCUCAUGUAGCCACCCCAGUGCUCUGUGCCAUGUUACCCCACUUUACGUUUGUUUUUAGCUCUUUCUAUUACUCCUUGAAGUUUUUUUCCGUAUUUCUUUCGUCAAAAUAACAAUUCCAUGCCCCAGCAGGCUCACGCCACGAAGGCAGGGACGCCGCCUGCCUUGCCCCCUCAGCACCUGCUGGGGCAUCAGGUAAAACUAGACGCUCAGGAAGUAUGGGGUGCAUGGACGGAGGGCUGAAUCUCAGCCUGGGAUGUCCAGGAGGGAACUUCAGCCUCACUUAAGGAAGAAGCUGGCAGCGGUCCACGUUUCCUGGGAGUGGAAGAUGCUGCCAGUGAGAGGGUGAGACCCUCAUCGGGGAGAGAUGCAAGCCCUGGCCAGGGGAUGGCCGAGAGGGGACACACACACUAAGGGGAAUGGCUCUGACCCCUCUGAGGCCGGGCUGAGGCCGGUGAUGGGCUCAGGGUCACUCAGCUCCUUCCUGGGGAGGGAGGGCAUCCUGGGGUCGGAAAGGGCCCUUUGCAGGCGGGCGUGGGGAUGCGCCCUGGUCGUGGCCUCAGCCCAAUCCCCAGGCACUUCUACUUCUCCUCUGAUGGUGGGCAUGCCACUUGUCCCCAUAUUGGCAGUGCUUCUGCCUGAGCCGUGGUGAUAAGGCCAUUUUCAGGUCCUGGGUUCUAGAUGACAGGCUUGAGCCUUUAGAUAACGCCGGAUACAGAGCAGGCUGUUCCUGAUCUGGGCUAAAAGCCUGGCUUCAUCCUUCCUGGCAGCGGGACCUGGGCUGCAGCUUCCUUGCCUGUGAGGAAAGUCUAAUUAACCACACUGGCUUCACCGGGUCACAUCAAGUUAGGGACCCUGUCCUGCCUCCCAGCCAUGAGGUGCUGUGCCUGGGGACCUGGGGGCAGACAGGCUCCUGGCCGGGGCUCCUGGGAUGCCCAGAGCCCCUGGGCACCUGGAAGGUUCCUGGGGGCAGCCUCAGGCUCCCCACGCAGCCCUGAAGGGCACUGGGCAGGACAGACUGGAAGCCUCAGUCAGGAGCAAAGCACUUUGCAUCUUCCCGCAAGCAGUGGAAGGAGUCCAAGGGCACGUGCCUUGCUCAGAGGAGGCUGCUGCAGGCUUGUCGAAUGGAGGCUUGGGCAGGGAAACAGCUCUGGCCACAGUCUGGGGUGACCCGCAGCCUUUGACCCCUGGAGCCUGCGCUGCUCGUCCGUUAUGUACAGAUAAUAAUAAGAAUGUGUAUGCACCGUGCUUGGCUGUGAGCCCUCCUACUUCCCCAACGACCCGCUGUGCACCUGCCAUGUGCUGGGGCCCUACGGUGACCAGAGCAGAGUCACUGUCCUCAUGCAGCCUGCAGCACCACCUCCACUGCCUGAUGCUGGGCCAGAGGGAGCUCACCCCCUGCCUUGGGGUGGCUUGGUUCUGCUGCAGAUGCAAAUGGGGCUGUGGCCACGGGCACAGCUGGGGUCCCUGAUGAGAGGGGUAGUGCAGGGCAGGGGUCCUGGGAGGCAGCCUCCCCUCCAUGUUUCAGAGCUGGGCUUUGAAGGGGGUAGGAAUGAGUCAGGUGGGGAAGGCAGGGAAGGGCAUUUCCAGCUGAGGGAACCACCUUUGCAAAGAAAGGCUCAGGGAGGAAAGCUGGGGUUGGGGAAAAUGGCUGGGAAGCUAUUCGCUUCGGGAGCCACAGCAGGGUGUGGAGCUUGGCCAGCCCUACCUGUUGGAAGGCCCCUGGCUUCACUGUGGAGGAACUGAGGGCAGAAAGAAAGCACAGAAGGGGAAGAGGAGUAGAGAAGUCACCGCAGCGCCCAGGGCGCCGCCGCGACCAGCUCUCGUCCAGCCGCCUGGCCAGAACUGGCCACCAGAGGGCACUGUGGACCCAGGCUGAGGAGGCCCUUGCGGUGCCGCGGCUGUGUGGGCGCAUGCGCCUAGCUGUACCUGCGGCCUGUGUCUGGAAUGGGCCUGAGCUUGUGCAGCAGCUCCGCUCACGGGUACCUGCUUGUGCAUCCUCGCUGUGAUCACGCGUUGUGUGCGUGUGUGUCUGGGGUGUGUGGACGGAGGUGUGAACUGGGCCCGUGGGAGAGUGUGAGUGAGCACGAGCAGGGGUGCAUAUAGGUGAGAGCAGGGCCCUCAGCUCGCCUUCCCCAGCCGCAGUUACUCCCCUCCCAGCCGCGCAUCUCAAGGCCUCUGCACCCGCUGUUCCUUCCUCCCGCAAUGUUCUUCCCCGACAGACUCACCACUGCUCCCUCACCCCCUCGGGGCUGUGCCUACACGUCACCUUCUAGUAAGGCUUGUCCCGACCUCCCUCUCUCUUUUUUUUUUUUUUUUGCUUUUUAGGGCCGUACCCCCAGCAUAUGGAGGUUCCAGGCUAGGGGUCCAAUCGGAGCUACAGCUGCCGGCCUCCACCACAGCCACAGCAAGGCCAGAUCCGAGCCGCAUCUGCGAUCUACACCACAGCUCAGGACAACGCCAGAUCCUUAACCCACUGAGAAGGCCAGGGAUUGAACCCGCAGUCUCAUUGUUCCUGAUCGGAUUCACUUCCGCUGCGCGGCGGUGGGAGCUCCUCCUGCCCUCCCUCUGUAAGAGUACAGCCCCACUGCCUUCCCUGGUUUCUCCGUCGCACUUAUCCUCUGGCCAGCUAUAAUUUAACUUGGGCAUUUUGCUCGUGUGGUUCACCCACCGGACAAUCCGUCAUCUCCCCGAGGGCAGGGUGUUGCGUCUGUCUCUUCGACGUGGAGCCCUCAGUGCCAGGCACGCAGUCAGUGCGCAAUAAAUAGUUGUCGAAGGAAUGACUGGCCGAGCUCCGGCCAUCUCCCCCCGGCCCUCGGCACCCCAGGCCCCACCCACCUUGGCUCACACCACACCCUGCUGUGGCCACUCUCCUUUCUCUGUCUUCCAGAGGGUGUUUGGGAUUCCAGGAGUCAGGGCAAGAGGCAGCCUGUUACAGUGACCCUGUCCAAUGUCCCGCCUGGUUUCUGAGGGGUCAUGGAAGCCCAGCCUCACUGGCUCCUUCGAGGCAGAGGGAGGCCAGCAGAUGUGACUGCCGCCAGCAAGGAAGAGGGGAAGGAGCUUUGGGCGGUGCCCCUGCCCAGCAUCAGCGUGCCUCUGCCUCCCACCGGGCCCUCACCCGUGGCCCCUCUCGCAGGUCCAGCCCUGUCUGGGGAGACUCUUGCCUUUCCGCCUGCUGAGCGCCUACGGGCCCUUAAAGGUCCAGUUUCAAAGUCACCUCUUCUGCGGAGCCUUCCUGACCUCACCCAGGUGGAGUCCGGCACCGGCCUGGGGCUUUUGCUCAUGUGUCUAUUUAUAGCGCCCCACAUGGAGUUUUGUGAUUCUUGGGCUGUCAGGCUCCCUGACUAACCUCCUCCAACUGCAGGGCCUUGACUGAGUCGUAGGAGCAGCCCAGCACGGGACCGACCGGAGUUGCUUCCAGUGUCUGCGGCAGCGCUUCCGUCCUCCCUUUGUUCAUGCCGCAAGUAUUUAUUAGGCACCUACUAUGUGCUGGGCCCUGAGCGGGGGAGUUCCCAUCAUGGCUCAGGGGUUAACCAGCCCGGCUAGCAUCCGUGAGGAUGCGGGUUUGAUCCCUGGCCUCGCUCAGUGGGUUAAGGAUCCGGUAUUGCCAUGAGCCGUGGUGUAGGUUGCAGAUGCGGCUGGGAUCCCGAGUUGCUGUGGCUCUGGCAUAGGUGGGCAGCUACAGCUCCUGUUGAACCCCUAGCCUGGGAACCUCCAUAUGCUGCAGGAGCGGCCCU